rnacentral:rRNA from 1 species
CAGUCGCCACGGUAAUACAGAGGAUGCAAGCGUUAUCCGGAAUGAUUGGGCGUAAAGCGUCUGUAGGUGGCUUUUCAAGUCCGCCGUCAAAUCCCAGGGCUCAACCCUGGACAGGCGGUGGAAACUACCAAGAUGGAGUACGGUAGGGGCAGAGGGAAUUUCCGGUGGAGCGGUGAAAUGCGCUGAGAUCGGAAAGAACACCAACGGCGAAAGCACUCUGCUGGGCCGACACUGACACUGAGAGACGAAAGCUAGGGGAGCAAAUGGGAUUAGAUACCCCAGUAGUCCCUGUCUCUUAUAC